AGAAUCAACGCUGGCGGCGUGCCUCAGACAUGCAAGUCGAACGCGAAAGGGGGCUUCGGCCCCUGAGUAGAGUGGCGCACGGGUGAGUAACACGUGAGUAAUUUACCUUCUCGGUGGGGAGUAACAAUCGGAAACGGUUGCUAAUACCGCAUAAUGCAGCGGCAGCUUCGGCUGACAGUUGUUAAAGCGGGGAUCGGAGCAAUCCGACUCGCGCCGGAAGAGGAGCUCGCGGCGGAUUAGCUAGUUGGAGGUAACGCCUACAAGGCAUCGAUCCGA
rnacentral:rRNA from 1 species